rnacentral:lncRNA from 1 species
AAUGGUUAAUAUUUAGCAUAUUCUUUUUUGAUUAGGUAAUUGGAGAUGCAAUUUUUGCCUAUACAAAAUAUGAACGAAUUAACUGGGUAAGGGAUUGGCCUGGACAGACUGUCCUCUGUGUAUCCCAAAUCUUUUGGACAAAAGAAGUACAAACAGCUAUUCCAGUGGGGAUAAAGGCUCUUGAGCAAUACUUGACAACAUGUAACAGACAAAUUGAUGAUAUUGUCACUUUGGUGCGUGGCAAAUUGUCCAAGCAGAAUCGUGUAACUCUGGGAGCACUUGUGGUACUGGAUGUCCAUGCUAGAGAUGUCCUCUCAUCACUUGUAAAAAAAAAUAUUAGUGAUGACUCUGACUUUGAAUGGUUAAGUCAGCUUAGGUACUAUUGGCAAGAAAAUCAUUUAGAAACAAAAAUGAUCAAUGCUGGUUUGCGAUAUGGAUAUGAAUAUCUG